GACGGGGGAUGCAAGCGUUAUCCGGAAUGAUUGGGCGUAAAGGGUCCGCAGGUGGCCCGGUCAGUCCGCUCUGAAAGCCCGGGGCUCAACCCCGGGAGGCGGGCGGAUACUGUCGGGCUAGAGUCCGGAAGAGGCGAGUGGAAUUCCUGGUGUAGCGGUGAAAUGCGCAGAUAUCAGGAGGAACACCGGUGGCGAAGGCGGGUCUCUGGGCAGUAACUGACGCUGAGGAGCGAAAGCGUGGGGAGCAAACAGG
rnacentral:rRNA from 1 species